rnacentral:rRNA from 1 species
UACGAAGGGGGCUAGCGUUGUUCGGAAUUACGGGGCGUAAAGCGCAUGUGGGCGGAUCUAUAAGUCAGAGGUGAAAUCCCCGGGCUCAACCCUGGAAUUGCCUUUGAUACUGUAGAUCUGGAGUCUGGGAGAGGUGAGUGGAAUUCCGAGUGUAGAGGUGAAAUUCGUAGAUAUUCGGAGGAACACCAGUGGCGAAGGCGGCUCACUGGCCCGAGACUGACGCUGAGAUGCGAAAGCGUGGGGAGCAAACAGG